rnacentral:rRNA from 1 species
UACGAAGGGGGCUAGCGUUGUUCGGAUUCAUUGGGCGUAAAGGGUGCGUAGGCGGCGCGGUAAGUCGGGUGUGAAAUCUCGGAGCUUAACUCCGAAACUGCAUUCGAUACUGCCGUGCUUGAGGACUGGAGAGGAGACUGGAAUUUACGGUGUAGCGGUGAAAUGCGUAGAUAUCGUAAGGAAGACCAGUGGCGAAGGCGGGUCUCUGGACAGUUCCUGACGCUGAGGCACGAAGGCUAGGGGAGCAAACGGG